AGAACGAACGCUGGCGGCAUGCCUAAUACAUGCAAGUCGAACGAACACUUCGGUGUUAGUGGCGCACGGGUGCGUAACGCGUGGGAAUCUGCCCUUGGGUUCGGAAUAACAGUUGGAAACGACUGCUAAUACCGGAUGAUAUCGAAAGAUCAAAGAUUUAUCGCCCAGGGAUGAGCCCGCGUAGGAUUAGCUAGUUGGUGAGGUAAAGGCUCACCAAGGCGACGAUCCUUAGCUGGUCUGAGAGGAUGAUCAGCCACACUGGGACUGAGACACGGCCCAGACUCCUACGGGAGGCAGCAGUAGGGAAUAUUGGACAAUGGGCGCAAGCCUGAUCCAGCAAUGCCGCGUGAGUGAUGAAGGCCUUAGGGUUGUAAAGCUCUUUUACCCGAGAUGAUAAUGACAGUAUCGGAGAAUAAGCUCCGGCUAACCCCGUGCCAGCAGCCGC
rnacentral:rRNA from 1 species